rnacentral:rRNA from 1 species
AUUGAACGCUGGCGGCAUGCCUUACACAUGCAAGUCGAACGGCAGCACGGGUGCUUGCACCUGGUGGCGAGUGGCGAACGGGUGAGUAAUACAUCGGAACAUGUCCUGUAGUGGGGGAUAGCCCGGCGAAAGCCGGAUUAAUACCGCAUACGAUCUACGGAUGAAAGCGGGGGACCUUCGGGCCUCGCGCUAUAGGGUUGGCCGAUGGCUGAUUAGCUAGUUGGUGGGGUAAAGGCCUACCAAGGCGACGAUCAGUAGCUGGUCUGAGAGGACGACCAGCCACACUGGGACUGAGACACGGCCCAGACUCCUACGGGAGGCAGCAGUGGGGAAUUUUGGACAAUGGGCGAAAGCCUGAUCCAGCAAUGCCGCGUGUGUGAAGAAGGCCUUCGGGUUGUAAAGCACUUUUGUCCGGAAAGAAAUCCUUGGCCCUAAUACGGUCGGGGGAUGACGGUACCGGAAGAAUAAACACCGGCUAACUACGUG